rnacentral:rRNA from 1 species
GUUGAACGCUGGCGGCAGGCCUAACACAUGCAAGUCGAGCGGAUGAAGGGAGUUUGCUACUGGAUUCAGCGGCGGACGGGUGAGUCAUGCCUAGGAACCUGCCUGGUCGUGGGGGAUACCGUUCGGAAACGGGCGCUAAUCCCGAUUACGUCCUGAGGGAGAAAGUGGGGGAUCUUCGGCCCUCACGCUAUGAGAUGAGCCUAGGUAGGAUUAGCUAGUUGGUGGGGUAAAGGCCUACCAAGGCGACGAUCCGUAACUGGUCUGAGAGGAUGAUCAGUCACACUGGAACUGAGACGCGGUCCAGACUCCUACGGGAGGCAGCAGUGGGGUAUGGUAGACAAUGGGAGGAAUGCUGAUCCAGCCAUGCCGCGUGUGUGAAAAAGGUCUUCGGAUUGGAAAGCUCUUCAUGUUGUGAGGAAGGGCAAUAAGUUAAUAGCGUGCUGUGUUGACGGUACCAACAGAAUAAGCACCGGCUAACUUCGUG